rnacentral:rRNA from 1 species
AGUGAACGCUGGCGGUAGGCCUAACACAUGCAAGUCGAACGGCAGCACAGUAAGAGCUUGCUCUUACGGGUGGCGAGUGGCGGACGGGUGAGGAAUACAUCGGAAUCUACUUUUUCGUGGGGGAUAACGUAGGGAAACUUACGCUAAUACCGCAUACGACCUACGGGUGAAAGCAGGGGAUCUUCGGACCUUGCGCGAUUGAAUGAGCCGAUGUCGGAUUAGCUAGUUGGCGGGGUAAAGGCCCACCAAGGCGACGAUCCGUAGCUGGUCUGAGAGGAUGAUCAGCCACACUUGAACUGAGACACGGUCCAGACUCCUACGGGAGGCAGCAGUGGGGAAUAUUGGACAAUGGGCGCAAGCCUGAUCCAGCCAUACCGCGUGGGUGAAGAGGGCCUUCGGGUUGUAAAGCCCUUUUGUUGGGAAAGAAAAGCAGCAGGUUAAUACCCCGCUGUUCUGACGGUACCCAAAGAAUAAGCACCGGCUAACUUCGUG